rnacentral:rRNA from 1 species
ACGCUCGACACCUACAGGCAGCAGUGGGGAAUAUUGCACAAUGGGGGAAACCCUGAUGCAGCGACGCCGCGUGAGCGAAGAAGUAUUUCGGUAUGUAAAGCUCUAUCAGCAGGGAAGAAACUGACGGUACCUGACUAAGAAGCACCGGCUAAAUACGUGCCNGCAGCCGCGGUAAUCUGAGCGGGCUGGCAAGGC